rnacentral:rRNA from 1 species
GACGUAGGAGGCGAGCGUUGUCCGGAUUCAUUGGGCGUAAAGAGCGCGCAGGCGGCUUGGUAAGUCGGAUGUGAAAUCCCGAGGCUCAACCUCGGGUCUGCAUCCGAUACUGCCCGGCUAGAGGUAGGUAGGGGAGAUCGGAAUUCCUGGAUGUAGCGGUGAAAUGACGCAGAGUAUCAGGAGGAACACCGGUGGCGAAGGCGGGUCUCUGGGCCGUAACUGACGCUGGAGGAGCGAAAGCCAUGGGGAGCGAACAGG